UACGUAGGGUGCGAGCGUUAAUCGGAAUUACUGGGCGUAAAGCGUGCGCAGGCGGUUCGUUGUGUCUGCUGUGAAAUCCCCGGGCUCAACCUGGGAAUGGCAGUGGAAACUGGCGAGCUUGAGUGUGGCAGAGGGGGGUGGAAUUCCGCGUGUAGCAGUGAAAUGCGUAGAUAUCGGGAGGAACAUCGAUGGCGAAGGCAAUCACCUGGGCCUGAACUGACACUGAGACACGAAAGCGUGGGUAGCAAACAGG
rnacentral:rRNA from 1 species